AAUAAGCCAGAUUUAAUCAACCAUUUUCUACAUAUUUUAAUGCCUGUACCAAGUCAGGAAUAUAACAGUUGUUUUCCAUUGGUUAUGUGUUUUUGAGUUUGGCAUUUUUUUAGGCACUUUCUGAUUUGAAUUUUGCUUGGCAGUUCCGUUUUUUUUUGUUAUUUUACUUUUGAUAUGAAAAAGGAAUUUCAUAUUGAAACUUUGCCCAAGACAUAAAUGGUUUUAUCAUCACAGAUAUCAUUCUUAAUUGUAUUGAAU
rnacentral:lncRNA from 1 species